rnacentral:rRNA from 1 species
CGCGGCCUAUCAGCUUGUUGGUGGGGUGAGGGCCUACCAAGGCGACGACGGGUAGCCGGCCUGAGAGGGUGAUCGGCCACAUUGGGACUGAGAUACGGCCCAGACUCCUACGGGAGGCAGCAGUGGGGAAUAUUGCACAAUGGGCGGAAGCCUGAUGCAGCGACGCCGCGUGAGGGAUGACGGCCUUCGGGUUGUAAACCUCUUUCAGCAGGGACGAAGCGUAAGUGACGGUACCUGCAGAAGAAGCACCGGCUAACUAUGUGCCAGCAGCCGCGGUGAUACGUAGGGUGCGAGCGUUGUCCGGAAUUACUGGGCGUAAAGAGCUCGUAGGCGGUUUGUCACGUCGUCUGUGUAAUCCUAGGGCUUAACCCUGGACGUGCAGGCGAUACGGGCUGACUUGAGUACUACAGGGGAGACUGGAAUUUCUGGUGUAGCGGUGGAAUGCACAGAUAUCAGGAAGAACACCGAUGGCGAAGGCAGGUCUCUGGGUAGUAACUGACGCUGAGGAGCGAAAGCAUGGGCAGCGAACAGGAUUAGAUACCCUGGUAGUCCAUGCCGUAAACGGUGGGCGCUAGGCGUGGGGUUCCUUCCACGGGCUCCGCGCCGUAGCUAACGCAUUAAGCGCCCCGCCUGGGGAGUACGG